rnacentral:snRNA from 1 species
AUAUCGAGACCGAGACCAGGGUGAUCACGAAUGCCCUGACCCCAGGUAGAGGCUCGCCUUUGCACUUCGGUGUGCUGAAGCCUGCGACGAUCCCUAAUCGGGCUCGCUCGGACGUGUAGUUUUUGCUAGUGGGGAGGUCUUCUUAUCAUCCCUU